rnacentral:rRNA from 1 species
GGGCUCACACAAGCGGUGGAGGAUGUGGCUUAAUUCGAGGCUACGCGAAGAACCUUACCUAGACUUAACAUGCUUAGGAACUCCUGUGAAAGCAGGAGGUGCCCUUCGGGGAGCCUUUGCAUAGGUGCUGCAUGGCUGUCGUCAGCUCGUGUCGUGAGAUGUCGGGUUAAGUCCCUUAACGAGCGAAACCCUUAUCUCUAGUUGCCAGCGGGUAGUGCCGGGGACUCUAGAGAGACUGCCGGUGUUAAACCGGAGGAAGGUGGGGAUGACGUCAAGUCCUCAUGGCCUUUAUGUCUAGGGCUGCACACGUCCUACAAUGCGGCGGAUAAAGGGAUGCGAACUCGCGAGAGCAAGCAAAUCCCAUAAACCGUGGCUCAGUUCAGAUCGUAGGCUGCAACUCGCCUACGUGAAGGCGGAAUCGCUAGUAAUCGC